rnacentral:tRNA from 1 species
GGGCCUAUAGCUCAGUUGGUUAGAGCAGAAGACUCAUAAUCUUUUGGUCGCUGGUUCAAGUCCAGCUAGGCCCACCA